UGCAGAUUCUUGUGCGCUACUCAGUUGGCUUUGCAGAAGCAGCAGCGAAGGCAGCGAGCUACCAGGCAGUAACGGGUCUCGUGCGUCUCCGCACGCCCAGCCCUGCGAUGCUUCCACGCGGCAAAGAGUCUAAAACAUUUCCGACUUGCUACCCAUGACAGCAGACUUCAAGGAUGGUGCAGAAGUCCCGCAACGGCGGCGUUUAUCCGGGUCCAGCCGGGGAGAAAAAGCUCAAAGUCGGCUUUGUUGGACUGGAUCCCGCUGCUGCCGACUCAAACAGAGACGGGGCACUGCUCAUAGCAGGUUCGGAAGCGACGAAACGGGGCAGCAUUUUAAGUAAACCCAGAUCCAGCAUCUCCGUUUCCGGGAGGCCACCCAAGACCAAGAGAAAAGCCUUCUAUAGAAAACUACAAAAUUUCCUUUACAAUGUCCUGGAAAGACCGAGGGGAUGGGCGUUUAUAUACCACGCUUAUGUCUUUCUGUUGGUGUUCUCCUGCCUGGUCCUCUCUGUCUUCUCCACCAUACCGGAGUACGAGAAGAGCUCGGAAGACGCCUUGUACAUCCUGGAAAUUGUGACCAUCGUGGUGUUCGGGGUGGAGUACAUCGUGAGGAUCUGGGCCGCGGGGUGCUGCUGCCGCUACCGCGGGUGGAGGGGCAGGCUGAAGUUCGCCCGCAAGCCCUUCUGCGUGAUCGACAUCAUGGUGCUGAUAGCCUCCAUCUCGGUCCUGGCGGCCGGCACCCAGGGGAACGUCUUCGCCACCUCCGCCAUCAGGAGCCUGCGGUUCCUGCAGAUCCUGCGGAUGAUUCGAAUGGACCGGCGGGGCGGGACCUGGAAGCUGCUGGGAUCGGUGGUCUACGCGCACAGCAAGGAGCUGAUAACAGCCUGGUACAUCGGCUUUCUGUGCCUCAUCCUGGCCUCCUUCCUGGUUUAUCUGGCCGAGAAAGAAGACAACCAGGAGUUUGCAACCUACGCGGACGCACUGUGGUGGGGACUGAUCACUCUGACUACAAUAGGAUAUGGCGAUAAAUACCCCAUCACGUGGAACGGACGGCUUCUCGCGGCCACCUUCACCCUCAUCGGCGUGUCUUUUUUCGCACUUCCAGCGGGAAUCCUGGGCUCUGGGUUUGCCCUCAAGGUCCAAGAGCAACACAGGCAAAAGCACUUUGAGAAGCGCCGCAAUCCUGCUGCCGGUCUGAUACAGGCUGCAUGGAGGUUUUAUGCCACCAACCUCACACGAACAGACCUUCUGUCCACCUGGGAUUACUACGAGCGAACUGUGUCAGUGCCCAUGUACAGACUCAUUCCUCCCCUGAACCAGCUGGACCUCCUGCGCAAUCUGAAGAGCAAAUCGGGACUGUCCUUCAGGAAGGAAUCUCAGCCAGAGGCCUCACCCAGGUUGGUGUCCCAGAGCAGAUUUUUACUCUUUUCCAGAAUGACCCUGCUCACCUCUGAGCGUGUGUCACCUGCUCUUGUGUUAUUCCCACAUUCGGUGUUGGAUCUGCAGUGCAUGCAGUGAAGUGAUGUUAUGUGCAUACUGUCUGUCCUGCAGGAAGUUUUCUUUAAGGACAUAAUGUUUUCAUCCACAAAUAUCUACCACGUGAGCUCCAUAAGUAUCACCUGGUGCCAAAAUAAGAUUUGGCUGUGAUUAUUUUUUCGGUUACAAUUAAUUUAGCUUCCAGCCUGACUCGAAACCAGUUCUGAAAGUAGCAGAUACUCAUUUGUGUCACUGUAAAACUCAUCUUUAAAUAACAAACACAAAUAAAUGACAUGGAUUUUACUGGUAUGUAAUUACAUGAUAAUUAAGCAGUACUUGUAUGUACAUACAUAUAACAUAUUCAUCUCAAUAAUGUGGCGAUAUUGAGUAAGACUACAUUUACAAUGCGAAUACACAGCAAGUACAGAUGCAAUGUAAAGUUCUGCUUAGUAUUUGUCUUGAAAUAUGCUUGUUUCAAGCCAUUUGCAUCACCUUAUGUUGUCGAGCUGAAGGUGUUACUGCUUUGGGGAAAUAUCAAUGGUUUCUAAAUGAAUAGGUCACAGCAGCAAAUGUCUUCAUUUAGAGAACCAUUCCCAAACCAACUCAUUAAAAUGUAACUGCCUACUUGGAAUUCUAGCUGUAAUUGGCCUUUAAAGAACAUUAUUGUCCUUAAUCCACCUCUUUAAUAUCCAGUCCAAGCUCAGAUAUUGUACACUGCACUCUACAAAAUAAGACUUGCACUCCCAAGAGAGGAUGGCAUUGUCCUGGUAGUGCUGUAACUCUGAUGUUUUUGUGGCAGUUUUCCCAAAAUGCCUGUAUAGUGCUUUGAUCAGGUUUUCAAACUCUCUCUGGGUGAGGGGGGAUAAAAGCUGUUGAAACCGGUUGUUAAAGGAAACACUUUCAGUAAUUAGGACCUAAUUUAUUUCACCCCGUGCCUCACAAAUGUGACUACACUCAUGUAACUAAUUAAAAAAACACUGGGAAAAAAGGACUGAAAAACGUUUGCAGAUAUUGCAAGCAUUAGUUGCUCUCGCUGAUUGAAAGUCCUGGUAUGUGAAUAUGGGACUUUUAUUCUUUACAGAAUGCACCGCUAAUUCUCACAUAAAUGUGCCUUCCCAGGGUAAAUCAUCCCUUGAGGCAUUAAACGUGUUGAAUGUAGAGCAAAUAGCAGCACUUUACAUAUCAGAGUUGCAAUUGUGGUUGGAACAAAAACCAGCAUGCACAGGGGUCCCCCAGGAUCAAGCUUGAAACUCUCUGAGCUGCACCGAUGGGUUGAUGGUUUUCAGAGCACCCAUCAGGGAGCGCUAAUUUUAAACCCGACGACGCACUCCGACUUGUACGCUUACCUCUCAAAGCACAGAGUGCGGUUACUAUGGCAACCCGUUUUCUAUUAUCACAUGAAAUAUGGUCACGUUCAGGCAUUCAAUAUGAAUGUAAAUCAGUCAUUGAAACAUUUACAUCAUCCAAGCCUGGCAUACAGAACAGAUCUUCAUUAUGACCACGUCAGACAUUCCCUGAACAUCCUGACAUCACUAUUCAUUAUGCAUUAGCUUCAUUUGCUAGUUCAUUUGCUAGAAUUAAUCUGACUUGUUUUCUGUUAAAUUUUUCAUAGAAUGACACAUCUAUGAUGAUCAUUAAGUAUACCGGAAGCAUUUUUUUUUUCACAGUGAUCUUUCAAAUCCUCUCAUUUUGUAAGAAAUCCCAUAAAGGGAGUAUCAAAGGGGGUAGGUCCCUGGCUUCUCUAAUCUGAUAUCAUUACAUUACCUUACGAGUAAAGUUAUGCCAAGUCAUAAACUAGAAGUGACACAUGUGAUGAAAAGAGAUAGAGACAGAGUUACAACAUCAAGAUGAAGAUACAAGUGCAACAUGAAAGUGCUAGGAGAUCAUGAUACAGGUGUUACAAAGAGUGGUGCUUGAUUUGGUGUAGUCCUGCAGAGUCCUGCAAUUUGGAGCACCUGCAGGGGAGAGCAUUACUAAGGAGUUGCACAGGAAAUGCACUGUUCUGCCGAAUUGACUGCGAAGCACAAUUGGCAGCAGUCCGUGGAGGGAAGAUGAACACAAGCUGGCUGGAUAUGGACAUUAGUCCAUUUAAUCCCACAUAGUUUAAGGAGGCUACAUUGAUGGUAUGCACUAGUACUUAAAAUGUAAAUUUGGACAGCAGAAUGUAAUUUAAGCACAAUAUAUAAUGUAAAAUAUAAAAAAGAGAAGAAAGAAAAGCAGACUUGCAGCCCAUGUACUGUACCUCCCUCAGGGGACAUACCAACUUCACUUUGCGUGAAACUACGCUCGUACACAUAGCCAUAAAAUGUGCUGUAGUCACAUGACCGAGGGUGAAGGGCAGGAGGAUGGUCUUUAUGCUCAUGUGCGGUAGUGGGCGGCCGUCCUCUAACCCAGCCGUCUCCCUCGUUUUCAGUAACAACAGCUCAUGCAAAGAGGCCCUUUGUGGGUGCUGCUCGGGACAAGCUAGGUAUCGCAGGAGAAUCUCUCACAUUGAUAUCACGCAAAUACUAACACCUGCACGGCUACACUUUGUUUUUAUGUUUGUUUAUUAUUCUUUUUCUGACCUGUAGUCUUCCAUUCCUGGAAGGGUUCCCCUCCCGCGCGGUGUAGGUUCGGCCAGGUGUGUGCCAAACGGCCCAUUAAUCUUGUCGGCACCAGGACUACUACCACCCAUUUAGGCCUACAGGCCACACACCGCGUGAGAGUUUCCUAUGAGGAAUCCUAUGGGUAAAAAAAAAAAUAAAAUAAACACGCUGUAAUUGGCUGUCUGAUCCAAGCAAAUACACAACAGCACUGUCCUGAUUGGUUGUCUUAUCGAGGUGAAAAUAUUACAGCACUGUUCUGGUUUGUGGUAUCGGCAGGGCCUUAUGAAAAAAGAGCAAAUGAUUUUAGGCAAAAGCCAUUAUUCUCCAUCUUCUAAAUAAAAGCUUUGCUGUUGAAUUUGAAGUCACAAAGACAUGAAUGCGUUUACAUUUUCCGACAUUCCUACAACUUAACAGGUUUAUCCAUCAAUCCCAUUCCUGCAUAUUUUUACAGUCCUUAACCCUCUGUAUGUGAGCUGCAUAAUGUUGGGGACGAAGACAUGUUUUUUUUUAUUGAAUUGGCUCUGUACUCCACUAUUUUAAAUUUAUAAUCUAACUAUUUAUGUGUGGCUAAAGUGCACAUUCUUAGCUCCAUUCUCAGAUGUUAUCAUCAUAAUGUUUGGGACAAAUGGCAUCACAGGUGAUGCCCUGAAAUGGGGGGACUAUUUAUAAAAAUUGCUGUCAUUUCUACAUGUUGAAACCAAAAUGCAUAAAAAUACUCCUUAAAUAAAAAGCUGGAAAUGUGCACUUUAGCCACACGUGAAUUGUUAGAUUCCAGAUAUAAAACUGUGGAGUACAGAGCCAAAUCCAGACAUACAUACUAUACGACUAUACAGUCAUAUGCUACAUAAUGUACAACAAAGGUUUGUUUCUUUUACAUUCACAUUUAUUUUGGAAGCUUCUUGAAGCUUUGUUUGCUAUUUCAGCUCUUUUGUUAUUGGGCAUUAACUGCAUUAUAGAACACGUGGAUUGGAAGGCCUGGCCACCUCCAGUAGACCCAUCCACCACCCAACUGGAUUUUACUGAACAUCCUUUCUUUACUUCACACCACUGACAAUGCCAACUGACAGCAGAUUGAAGCCGUCAAAUGAAACAAGGCAGCGUCUUGCUAUUUUCUUGCUGCUUGUGCUAGCAUGGCGUGGAUGCUGUUGUGUCAAGGCCUGGAAUUGGCCAGUUCCACAGUGGAGAUAUGGCCAAAAUGCAUCACAUGUUAGAGGCACACUUUGCAUUCUGGGAUGUGUUUUGUUUAUGUAUAUCUUUCUUUUUUGAAGCAAAAGUCCUGUUUUAUCCUCUAGCUUUACUUCAGCGCCAGAAAUGUUUUCAACUCCGUUUAUCGCAUGUUCUCAAAGCCGAGUGUGUAGUUUUGAUUAGCACAUCUUGUAAUGGCUGAAUAUGUAGUUCUCAUUAGUGUGUGAUCUCAGCUGAGUGUGUGGCCCCCGUUAACUCAUCUUCGAAUAACAGAUUAUGUGGCUACCUUUGGCUUGUCUUCUAAUAGCUGAAUGUGCGGCUAUCGUUAGCUCGUGUUCUAAUAGCAGAAUUUGCGGUUAUGAUUAGCUUGUGUUCUAAUAGUAGAAUGUACAGCUACUGUUAGCUCGUGUUCUAAUAGCAAAAUGUGCAGUUAUCAUUGGCUCGUGUUCUAAUACUAGAAUGUACGGCUACUGUUAGCUCGUGUUCUAAUAGCAGAAUGUGCGGCUAUUGUUAGCUCGUCUUCUAAUAGCGGAAUGUGACUUCUGUGUCAGCUGUGUUACUAGAGCUGAAUAUUUGACUCCCUUGUGUUAGCUGAAUAUGUGCCUUCCAUUAGUACAUCUUCUCAAAGCUGGAUGUGUGACUUCCAUUGGCACAUCUUCUCAUAGUGUGAUGCGAGAUGGACAGACCUUGGUGGCUGUUUCCAUUUGUCACCUCUGCUGCCACUUACGUAUAAUUCAACACAGACUGGUCUGUCAACACAACGUGGCCUUAUGUGUUUAUGCAGGUGUUUGGCAAGAGAUUCAUUUUGUUGUAACCCUGCAGUACACAGGAUUUAGAAUGAGUGAUAAAUACUAUCUAUCUAUCUAUCUAUCUAUCUAUCUGUCUAUCUACAUCUGUCUGUCUGUCUGUCUGUGUGUCUCAGCAUCCAUAUGGGGUGGAUUACUCUGUUAAUUAGAUAACUGAAAGGAUUCUUGUUCCAGUUAAAUGCACAAGUAUUGGGACGGUUGUGUUGAAUUGAUUGUUCUCCCUCUGUACUAAUCAAAUUUGUGUUUCAAAUCUAUGACUCUGAGGCAAAAUUCACGAUCUCUGCUUUUAUUUCAAGUGUAAUUUAGUAAAAAAAAAAAAAAAAACAAUGUGGAUGAGUGAAUAGAUCAUUCUCUUUGAUUACACGCACAUUAUGCAGUCAACAGCAGUACUGUAGUGUGUAAAACAGAAAACAAAUGAUCACAGCCUUGGGUACAAGAUCUCUGCAAGCUGGGCCAGUGUAGCAGCUGCUAAGCUUUGUGUUUCACCUGUAAGGCAUGUUGUUAUGACUUCUGUGGGAACAUGACCUUCUGUGAUGAGUUUUCUUACAUCAGGUUGUUUGAUGAAUGUGGUACGUGCAUGUUUGCUUGUUUGUCUUUCUCUGUUUGCUCAGUUGUUGAAUGUCACGUAGUGUGUGCGCAACUACAGAGGUUAGAAAAAAGCUAUAGGACACUGUCCACAGUAUUACUGCAAAGGUAAGAUGUAUUGUUGCAUUUGAGAAUUUGUUUAGUCAAGCAUUGUUGCUAUGAACUCUUAGUAAUGGUGGCACUGAUAAUAUUUGCAGUGCUGUAUAAGUUACAUAAAUAUCAUACAUAUUUGUAUUAGUAUUGACAAAACUGACAACUGAGAGCAGCUGUUUUUUCUACACUGUAAAGGGUCUUUUUUUGUAAAAGGCGCUAUACAAAUAAAAUUGAUUUGAUUUGAAAAUGUUAGCCACUGGAACUUUUGGUUAAAUUAGACUGUAAAGCUUAUUACUGGAAGGUAAUACACCAUAUUGAAACUGGCAAAAAGUUUAUGUUAUUUAAUAUAAUGUCUCUCCCUAAAUGUGGUCAGGUGAGUAUGAAAUGUAGUCAGGUGAGUAUGGGGUAACAUUCUAUGAAUUAUCCUUCAAAAGAGCUAUAUAACUCCCUCAUCAGCACAACAGAGUACCUUUAUGAGCACUACACAAGCAACCAUACAUGCAUAUGUCAAUAGACGCAUGGUCUAUGUCAGUAGGUAAGUCAUUUAGUGCAUCACUGGUGACAUAACACACCGUAAUGUCUAUUUAUGAAUGUUUAUUUACUGCUUAUGAAGGAGUCGUAUGGCUCUUGUAAAGAAUCAUUCACAGACAGCCUUAUAACAGUGUCAGUCUUACAGUGUCAGUUAGUGUACCAUUUACGGUGCUUUGGCUGUUCCCACACCUAGCGGUCAGAAGGUGAGCUUGAAGGAGAGGGUGUUCUCCAGCCCCCGCGGCUCUAGCACCAAGGG